GCCGCCCCCAUCCAUUUUCGCAGCAGACUCGUCCCUAACCCCAGCCCGGAGACUUUCACUUUGUCCCAUGCCUCCCGAGCACCCCUCCCCGCCCCGGUGGGGGCAGCUCCUGGCUCCGAGCCCCCACCUCGGGGCUCCCAGCCUGGUCCCGGGCGGCCGACCCCAGCAGCCACAGGCAUCCUACGCUGUGUGCACACAGCAUAUCACCGGGAGAGACGGCACGGAAAAAUGGCCCUGCCCUCAAGGAGCUGCAGUCUGCCCAGGAAGGCAGACAGGUAAACAAACCAGUCCUAGGGCCUGCAAGAAAAGCAGCAGAGGAACAAAGGGUGGUGGGUGGAGCUAGGAAGAGGAAGCAACUUACUCUGCUUGCUGAUGUCUUAGAGGAAGUGACAAGGAAGAGUGUGAGCCUGCCAGGUGGGCUCCAGCAGGGCUUCCAGCAGAAGUCAGCCAGGAAAAGGCACAGAGAACAUUCUGGGAACUGCAAGGAGGACAGGGUGUGCAGAAUGGAGUGCCAGCAGAUAAGACGAAAGAGGCAGGCAAGGAUCGGGUUGCAGAGAGCCCUUCAGGCCUCACGGAAGAGUUCCUAAUUGUAGGCUGGCAGGAAGGCUGAAGCUGGAGCUUUCCAUGAAAAGACUGGAUGAGGACUGUGCCAGUGGCAGUGUGGCCUAAGUGUAGAUUAGGGACAGACCAGUUAAAGAGGCUACUGACACAGUUCAGGUAUGAGAUGAGGACCUCAACUACUGGCACACUCCACCUCAGUAAUCAGAAUUCCUGCCGCUUAAUCCAUUCUUCAAGUAUUCAGGUAUUUACUGAGCACCUAGCUGAGAGGGGUCUAGGCAGAUAAUAAAGGUUGCCAUGGACCUUU